UACAGAGACUGCGAGCGUUAUUCGGAUUCACUGGGCGUAAAGCGUGCGCAGGCGGUUUCUUAAGUCAGAUGUGAAAGCCCCGGGCUUAACCUGGGAACUGCGUUUGAAACUGGGAGACUUGAGUGUGGCAGAGGGGGGUGGAAUUCCACGUGUAGCAGUGAAAUGCGUAGAUAUGUGGAGGAACACCGAUGGCGAAGGCAGCCCCCUGGGUUAACACUGACGCUCAUGCACGAAAGCGUGGGGAGCAAACAGG
rnacentral:rRNA from 1 species